rnacentral:rRNA from 1 species
AUACGUAGGGUGCAAGCGUUAAUCGGAAUUACUGGGCGUAAAGCGUGCGCAGGCGGUUUUGUAAGACAGAGGUGAAAUCCCCGGGCUCAACCUGGGAACUGCCUUUGUGACUGCAAGGCUAGAGUACGGCAGAGGGGGAUGGAAUUCCGCGUGUAGCAGUGAAAUUCGUAGAUAUGCGGAGGAACACCGAUGGCGAAGGCAGUCCCCUAGUCCUGUACUGACGCUCAUGCACGAAAGCGUGGGGAGCAAACAGGAUUAGAUACCCUGGUAGUCCACGCCCUAAACGAUGUCAACUGGUUGUUGGGUCUUCAUUGACUCAGUAACGAAGCUAACGCGUGAAGUUGAACGCCUGGGGAGUACGGCCGCAAGGUUGAAACUCAAAUGAAUUGACGGGG